GGCUAAUUCGCCACAAUGCUGGCCAUGUCUGAACUCGUGAUACCAACCCCCCUUCUUUCUCUUCUCUUCCCACCCCAGCUUUUCCAGUCUCUAAGGGAAGGAGAGAGAGGUGAGGGUCAAGGGUGAGGCGAGAAGCGAGAGAGGGCUGGAAGAGGGAAGAGCUCGGGUUAAGAUGUUUGGUGUUCCUAUUUCUGGCAGAGGGGGAGAUCGUAUCAUGUAUGAGAAGUUAACCAUAUUGAACCUGCAAAGUGGCUUGAACUGGACUGAGCCUAACAACUGGUACCAUGACCUGUCCACAGUACAAACACAACACAGCACAGUGCCCGAGGGCUCUCUAUUGGACACAGACGGAGUCCUGGGGGAUGAAGGUGGUGGUGGUGGAGGAGGAGGGCCGGUCGAGAGGGACGAGGGCAAGGAGUCACAGCUGAGGCUGCAGCUGAAGAGGAAGCUACAGAGGAACAGGACCAGCUUCACUCAAGAGCAGAUUGAGGCACUGGAGAAAGAGUUCGAAAGAACACAGACGUCUUCGUGCGAGAGCGAUUAGCCAACAAGAUUGACCUUCCAGAGGCACGGAUACAGGUGUGGUUUUCCAACCGAAGAGCCAAGUCUAGGAGAGAGGAAAAGCUUCGCAACCAGAGGAGGUCAUGGGGUGGGACUUCCUGUUCCCAGGCUCACGCCCCCCAAAGCACUUCCUUCAACACCUCUGUCUAUUACCAUCAACAUGGCAGCAGUUCAGAAAUUUGACUCUUCAGAGUACCCAUCCCAUAUGCCUCCACCGUCCUCUGCCAACUCAAACAUUGUCUUUCUUUCUUUCCUUCCUCCUCCUCUCCUCUUUCACCCUCUCUUGCAUUCUCUCUCUCCCUUCCUGUUUUCUCUCCUUCCUCCUCUCCUCUCUUUCCUUCUUCCUGUCCCCUUGCUUUCUCUCUCCUUGCCCCCCCCCCCCAUCUCCCAGGGCUCAUUUCUCCCGGGGUUUCGGUACUGGUGCAGCUUCCUGGGAACGAGCAGAGCAUGAGCCAGUACUGGGCCAGACUACAGUGAGCGAGAGGGAACGAGAAACGACUGAGGGGACAAAAAACAAAGGCAUACUAUGAAAAGGGAGGAUAAAACAAGGACACUAGAUAAGAGACAUGCUUCUUUGAGUUGGUUUGGCUUGAGGCUUGCAUUAAAUGUUUACAAAUGUGCUGCCAAAAUACUUUUUUUUUUUACAACGGGAAGCAUAAAAGCUCAUUGAUAUGGUGUGGCUAGUUGUUCCGUAAGCAUCAGUGGUGAGAGGCUGAAUAUACUGUGAAGAUACAUUUUUUGACUCGAUUAUAUUAAAACAUUCACCUUUUACAAACAUGUUUAAAGCCUAUCUCUCCUAUCAGCAAUCUGCCAAAUAUAAUAUUUUGUGGUGAAACAAAUGUUGCGAAACAAUUCAAUUCUAAUGGAGGCCCAAGUAAGGGUUGGAGUCUAUUCCAUUUCAUUUACAGCCAUUUCAGAAAGUAAACCAAAUUCAAAUGUUCCUAAUUUCAAAAGCAAUGAAGAGAAUCAGAAUUGGAAUUACAGUGUACUUCCCGAAUUGACUGGAAAUGAAAUGGAGGUGACCCUUGGCCACAGUAUUGAUGUAUAACAAUACAGUUAUAGAGAAUAUCAAAUUUAUGGAAGGAAAAAUGCAGCACAUUUUAGAACAACACUCAUCCUCAGAUUUUGUAACAAAGAUUUCAAUGAUAGUGCCAUCAGUUUACAUAUUCAUCAGCCAAUGACAAUCAAGUAUCAUCAGCCACCAUGCAAUAAGAGUUGAUGUUCAGGUUAGCAACCAAUCAAAAGCAAAGGCCUUAGCAAAUGACAAUCAAGAAGAGCCAAUGAAUAACCACUAAAGCCGGAUUUCAAUCCGAUCUUGCUUUGACGACAAUGCACCAUUUAAAGAUAAUUUCCGAUUGAGCAGACAUAUGCAGAGUGAAAGCGGUCUCCCUGAAAGCGGAAACAUUGCCUUUAAAAGGUGCAUUGUCGACAAAACAUGAUCGGAUUGAAUCUCGGACUAACUAAAACUACAAAAGCAACAAUAUUAUCAAGAGCAAUGGAUCAAUGACCAACUGAGCGUGACCAAAUAUUACGUAGCACUCAAUCAUUCAUAAACAUAAAUCAAACAUUGUAACAUAUUGUUGAUUUUAUGACCUCACUGUUGCUUCUCUCUUUAAUGAACUGUCAUUUAUUUGUCUAUUUUUCAUUUCACAUUUGUCACAUGACCCCUGUGUGUUUUUUUUUUUAUCGUUGUGGGACUUUGCUGUGUUAGCACUGUGUAUAAGAAAAGUAAUCCCUUUUGCGAAGGCAUUUGAACCCUUUAAUGAAUUAAAACUAUAUGGAAUGAGAAA